rnacentral:rRNA from 1 species
UACAGAGGGGGCGAGCGUUGUUCGGAAUUACUGGGCGUAAAGGGCGCGUAGGCGGCCUUCUAAGUCGAACGUGAAAUCCCCAGGCUCAACCUGGGAACUGCGUCCGAUACUGGCAGGCUUGAAUCCGGGAGAGGGAUGUGGAAUUCCAGGUGUAGCGGUGAAAUGCGUAGAUAUCUGGAGGAACACCGGUGGCGAAGGCGGCAUCCUGGACCGGUAUUGACGCUGAGGCGCGAAAGCUAGGGUAGCAAACGGG